AUGGACGUAGCGCAGGAAGCGCAAAGUACAGAACAGGGACACGAAGGAUUCCUGCCAGGGUGGCGGGGCGAAAUGGAUGUCAGGGAAACAGUCUGCAAAGCCCCGCUUCGGCGGGGUUUU
rfam:Pseudomonas sp. 5 contig4, whole genome shotgun sequence.